UUCGGCCUGAGAAUUAAAGAGAGACCAGCUGGAACGCUACGGGGAGAAGAGGUCGCGCUUCUAUCAGGAAUUUUGUAGAAGAUGAGCAUUCUUCAUUUCAAAAAUAAUUGGAGAAGAUUAGCUGUGCCAAAGAUUGUGCCUGUCAGUGCCACUUAGUGGAACAAGAGGUCAGAGUGGUAAUUGUGAGUCAGAACUCAGGACCUGAAAUGGGUAAGGUGACUUGAAAUGAGAUGUUUAAUUUGCAAGACAAAAAAAUUAAAAUGUGGGUGUAUGCUGAA